UUGCUCCUACGGGACGCAGCAGUGGGGAAUAUUGCACAAUGGGGGGAACCCUGAUGCAGCGACGCCGCGUGAGUGAAGAAGUAUUUCGGUAUGUAAAGCUCUAUCAGCAGGGAAGAAAAUGACGGUACCUGACUAAGAAGCCCCGGCUAACUACGUGCCAGCAGCCGCGGUAAUACGUAGGGGGCAAGCGUUAUCCGGAUUUACUGGGUGUAAAGGGAGCGUAGGCGGUUUAGCAAGUCAGAAGUGAAAGCCC
rnacentral:rRNA from 1 species